rnacentral:rRNA from 1 species
AGAGUUUGAUCCUGGCUCAGGAUGAACGCUAGCUACAGGCUUAACACAUGCAAGUCGAGGGGCAGCGCGGGGUAGCAAUACCCUGGCGGCGACCGGCGCACGGGUGAGUAACACGUAUCCAACCUGCCCAUGACCAGGGAAUAACCCGCGGAAACGCGGCCUAAUGCCCUAUGUGCUCCGAAGAGGACAUCCGAUUUGGAGUAAAGAUUCAUCGGUCAUGGAUGGGGAUGCGUCCGAUUAGGUAGUAGGCGGGGCGACGGCCCACCUAGCCUGCGAUCGGUAGGGGUUCUGAGAGGAAGGUCCCCCACAUUGGAACUGAGACACGGUCCAGACUCCUACGGGAGGCAGCAGUGAGGAAUAUUGGUCAAUGGGCGAGAGCCUGAACCAGCCAAGUAACGUGCAGGAUGACGGCCCUAUGGGUUGUAAACUGCAUUUAUGCGGGGAUAAAGUGCUCCACGUGUGGGGCAUUGCAGGUACCGCACGAAUAAGGACCGGCUAAUUCCGUGCCAGCAGCCGCGGUAAUACGGAAGGUCCAGGCGUUAUCCGGAUUUAUUGGGUUUAAAGGGAGCGUAGGCCGAUGGCCAAGCGUGUUGUGAAAUGUGGACGCUCAACGUCCGACUUGCAGCUCGAACUGGCCGUCUUGAGUGCACCCAACAUCGGCGGAAUUCAUCCUGUAGCGGUGAAAUGCUUUGAUAUGACGAAAAACUCCCAUUGCUAAGGCAACUGACUGGAGCGCAACUGACCCUUAAGCUCUUAAGUGCGGGUAUCCAACA